CCAUAUGUGAGAGUUGUCAGUUUGUUGUCUCCUCCCCUGUUCCCCUGGAUACCUUCUGCUAACCGCCCCGCCGAGUUCCUGUCCAUCACCCACUGGCUCCUCCCCUUUUUCCAGAAAGUUCUCCCCUCGGCAGUGGGUGAUUGGAUCAGGAACAAGAGUUCCUCCCUACUACCCUCCCCAUUCGCUAGCCAGGAGGGAACCCACUGAAUGUGACGGGCAGAAGAAGCCAGGCAUGCCUCAGAAGGUGCUGACACAUGGGCAAACAUGGUGGUGGAAUAUUGCUGAUUGUCAGGUACCAGGAGGAACCAGGCCCCAGAGAUCUUCUCCAAGAGUCCAGGUUACUGAGAUAAGUUGCCUCUGGACCUCAUCCUCCUAAAGAGAUGUGUGGCCACUGGAUGAUUUUCAAAGGCUCCCAGGCUCAGACCUUUGGCUCAGACUCUCACUGAUGAUGGAGGGCUCAAAGGAAGAAUACCAGCAUCUUUGUCUUCUCACAGAGAGUGAGAUUCAGCAAAUGGAAGAGGAACACGAUAUCUCUAGAGUUUGUCAAUAAACCUCUAGGUGAAACAAAAGAAUUAUGUUUGCACUUCAGAUCAGAUCUGCUGAGAAAUGCCUGCAAACACCAGUACAUUGGAGAUACGUAUUCAAGAACAUUUCAUCCUUGUGAAAAUAUUACCCUAUUGAAACAGCCAAGGUCACUGAGACCCAGAGUGAUCUUCUGGUCACAAAAGUUAAGAAUGCCUGGCGGCUACUAUAAUUAAAUUAUGAGUGCUAGGAGAAUAGAGAAAGCAGUUUUCCCACAAAUAUUUAUUUGAAUUUAAGAGUGACUUUAGGCAUGACUUUGUUGGGUUUUGGUUUUUUUCCUCCUUGAAAACAUUCAGACACUCAAACUGAAUGUGAGCACCCAGGCCAUCCCAGUUUCCACAGCCUUCAGCUUUAGCCCGACUGAAGGACAAAAGCAACAACCUCAGGUCUGCAUCACAGUGGGGCUUUUAGAUGUUUGCAACUAUCAAUUUGCAUCUCAUGAACAUAAUCCAGGUGAUUACCUGGGUCAGUUAAGAGACGGAUAGAAUAAGAAAUGUUCAGUUCCCACCAGAGCAUGUCUAUAGGAAAACCACCAAUAUAAAAGAAUAUUAAGGUUAGGAUAAUCUGCCGUGAUAAUCAUUAGCUACUUAUUCAUCUUUAAAAAUCUUUAAAUUUAAUAUUGCUGGUCCUUUUGGAAAUGCUCCUUUGUUUGGUCUCAUUUCUGCUUUUUGGAUUUUGGUUAAUUUUCUUUCUUUUCCUCCUGAAAUGCUGAGCAGGCAAGGUCACAGGCAAGUACACGCAAUAUGCAAAAACUUGCUAUCUCAAGGCCUCAGCACAAAGCAGAAAAGACAUCUCACACCGCUCUUUUUUUGUGUGUGUUUCCAACUACAAGAAAAUGUGCAACACUGAGUACUAGAGAAAUCAUGAGCUGGCCACAAAACACUGAACACACAUAUGUGUAAAACUGAACUACAAGGGGUGGCAAUAUGAUAGGUUUAGUAUGGCAUAUAUGACAAUGCUGUGCUCCCACACUAGGUGUUUAACAAUUUUCUAUUGUUGUUUACAAUAGAAAUUUUUUAUUGUUGUUUAA